rnacentral:rRNA from 12 species
CAAGAGUUCACAUCGACGGCGGUGUUUGGCACCUCGAUGUCGGCUCAUCACAUCCUGGGGCUGAAGUCGGUCCCAAGGGUUGGGCUGUUCGCCCAUUAAAGCGGCACGCGAGCUGGGUUUAGAACGUCGUGAGACAGUUCGGUCCCUAUCUGGUGUGGGCGUUGGAUGAUUGAGGGGAGCUGCUCCUAGUACGAGAGGACCGGAGUGAACGAACCUCUGGUGUUCCGGUUGUCAUGCCAAUGGCAUUGCCGGGUAGCUAUGUUCGGACAGGAUAACCGCUGAAAGCAUCUAAGCGGGAAGCGAGCCCCGAGAUGAGUCAUCCCU